AGUUGGGAGCAUUAGUAUUUAAUUGUCAGAGGUGGAAUUCUCGGAUUUGUUAAAGACUAACUUAUGCGAAAGCAUUUGCCAAGGAUGUUUUCAUUAAUCAAGAACGAAAGUUAGGGGAUCAAAGACGAUCAGAUACCGUCCUAGUCUUAACCAUAAACUAUGCCGACUCGGGAUCGGGGGCGCGAACUAUCCGCCUUCGGCACCGUAUGAGAAAUCAAAGUCUUUGGGUUCUGAGGGGAGUAUGGUCGCAAGGCUGAAACUUAAAGGAAUUGGCGGAAGGGCACCACCAGGCGUGGAGCUUGCGGCUCAAUUUGACUCAACACGGGAAAACUUACCAGGUCCAGACAUAGUGAGGAUUGACAGAUUGAUAGCUCUUUCUUGAUUCUGUGGGUGGUGGUGCAUGGCCGUUCUUAGUUGGUGGAGUGAUUUGUCUGGUUAAUUCCGUUAACGAACGAGACCUUAGCCUGCUAACUAGUCGCUGGGAUCUCUCAUCCCAGUCGGCUUCUUAGAGGGACUUUGUGAUCUAAACACAAGGAAGUUUGAGGCAAUAACAGGUCUGUGAUGCCCUUAGAUGUCCUGGGCCGCACGCGUGCUACACUGACACUUACAGCGAGUACUUCCCAGCCCCGAGAGGCGGCUGGUAAUCAGCAAUAAGUGUCGUGAUGGGGAUAGUCCUUUGGAAUUAUUG
rnacentral:rRNA from 1 species